CACGUAGGGCGCGAGCGUUGUCCGGAUUUACUGGGCGUAAAGCGCGUGUAGGCGGCCCCAUAAGUCGGGUGUGAAAGCCCGGGGCUCAACCCCGGGAUGCCGCUCGAGACUGUGGGGCUUGAGUUUGGGAGAGGGAUGCGGAAUUCCAGGUGUAGCGGUGAAAUGCGUAGAUAUCUGGAGGAACACCGGUGGCGAAGGCGGCAUCCUGGACCAACACUGACACUGAGGAGCGAAAGCCAGGGGAGCAAACGGG
rnacentral:rRNA from 1 species